CCACGCUGGGCCAGCGCUCUACCACUGAGCCCCAGCCCCAGCCCUGCCUGGUCAUUUUUAAUUGUCUGCUAGGUGUUAUAAAUUUUAUGUGGUUGAGUCCAGCACAUCUAUUCAAAGCUCCCAUUUUAUAUACCCUUGAACUUUGAUGAGGUUAAGUUUCCUAGAAACAGUCAGAUACUUUCAAGGUUUGUACUUAGGCUUGGGUAGGCAAGAUGGGAGCACCCUUGACAACUAGGACUAAUUUUUUUCUUCUAGGCAACACCCUUCUGAAAACUGCACCAGAUAAUGUCCUAUGUAUUGAGGUUGUUCCAUUCAGCUGGUGGUAACACAGACUCUUCCUAAUCCUUUAUAAACUCCGGGGAUUAUUCUGCCUGCUCCUUUUGGCCCCAUUUUCCCUGAAUCACAUAAAUACACAACUCAGUGGUCAGCUCAAGAUCUAGAAAGACCUCUGAGGAUCUUGAAAGUGCUCUCCAUGGAGCUCUCUUCUCUCUGAUGCUUUGUGAACUCCAAUCACACGCCCCCCCUUGAACUCCCAACUGUGUUUCUUCAUCCCGAGGGGGACAGAGGAGCUUUGCCGGGACAUGAAAUGUCCCCACAAAAAUUCAUGUGUUGGAGACUUGGUCCCCAGUGCAGAGGUGGAGCUUUUGGAAAGUAAAUGGGUCACAAAGACUCUGGAUUCUCCGUGGAUGAAUCCAUUGGUAGCUGAAUGAAUUACUGCAAGGCAAUGGAACCUAGGAAGUGGAACCUGAUGAAGGAAAGCAGUUACUGGAGAUUUGCCCUGAAGGGUAUUUCUUAUCCUCAGUCCCCUUCUCUGUAUGUGUGUGUGUGUGAGUGUGUGUGUGUGUGUGUGUGUGUGUGUGUCUGUCUGUCUGUCUGUCUGUCUGUAGUUCGAUUGGUUCUUCUGCCUGUUUCCCUCUCUCCCUCUCUUUUCCUGGCUCCCAUGACCUGAGCAGCAUACUUCUGCCACGAUGUCCCACCCCACUCAGGCCCAAAGCCUAGAGCCAAAUGACCAUGGACUGAGAACUCUGAAACUGUGAGCCAAAAUGAACCUUUCCUACCCUAAGUUGCUUUUCUCAGGUAUUUGUCACAGCAAAGAAAAGCUGUCUGAUACACCAGGGCUUCCCCUUCCUGGCUUGAAAACCCUCUUCCAGUGAGCUGAGCCGAUCGAGGCUUCUCUUCAUUACAUUUCCCUCUCAGGAAUAACUCUUCUGUGCUGUCUACUGUCUAAGGCAUAAAACACAUUUUUAAAAUACCUAUUUUUUGUCUAGUUUUUUGUUGUUUAAGGCAUGAAGAUAAAACCAGUCCCUGUUUCUCCAUCUGACCACCUCCUUAGGCCUAAGAUUUUUAUGAGAAUACAUUCAUGCUUUUGUUUAAAACCAGUGAGGUUGGACGAAACUGGGAGAGCACAACUUGUAAAAAAUGAGACUGAAUUUCUUCCCAACCGGAACCUGAGGCAACUGGUACAAAUUAUUCAAACUCUCCAUGAAAAAAGAAUUUUUUUUUCCAGGCUGGGGAAGGAACUCAGGACUACAAGAAUGCUAGGCAAGUGCUCUACCACUGAGCCACACCUGCUGCCCAUGAAGAUUUUUUUUUUUUUACUGAAAAGACACACCAGCAUACCUAAAAAAAAUUAUUCAAGCACAUCGUUACAGAAAAUGCAAUACAAUUGAGCCUAAGACAAAGUCAGUCAUUUUUGCAAAUACUGCCCAGAAAGAAUCAGGCAUGGGUACUGUCAGCAUGCCCUGGACUGUAAGGUGCCUCUUUGUGGAUGAGGAUGUUACAUGUACUCUUCCUGUACAUCUGAGCAAAACUCCACUCAGCUGCAUGAAGAGCUUUCCUAUGAAGGAAACUGCUAUCCAUCUCUCAUAAUCAGAAAAAUAUAGUGAAGAAAGAAAACCUAAAAGCAAUGGCAUUUUUAUCCAUGAGUACAUACUUAUCACUGGUGAAAAUGUAGGCAACCACAUCCUUCAAAGCUGCUAGCAGAACUCCCAGUGCAAGUGCACAAACACCUGGAAAGCAUGGAAGAAGCCAAGAGGAAGUGAUAUAAAAUGUGAUUAAAUCCUAGGGCUGACAUCUCAUGAAAGACUCUCAUCAAUGAUUUGCAAGGCUGAAGCAGGAGGGUUGGCUGAGCCCACAAGUUUGAGGUAACAUAGCAAGACCCCAACUCAAAAAAAAGUUUAUAAGGUUAAUAACGUGUCGUUUUGCUGUCUAUGGAAAGGACAACUAAAAUCUGGCAAUUCUGACUUCUUUUUCUAAGGGAGACUGAUCCUCAAUAAGAUUUCAACUGUGGUAGUUUGAAUGGCUUUGUCCUCUUCAAAAUUCAUGUUGAAAUUUAAUCUCCAGUGAAACUGUGUUGGGGGGUGUGCUCUCUGGGAGGUGACUGGAUCAUGACAGCUGUGACCUGAUGAAUGGAUUAGGUCUCCUUGGGCCCCUUUUCACCCUUCCAUCCCUUCUGCCACAGGAGAAUGAAAAUCAAGUCUCCAGCUUGGAAGCAAAAAGCAUCCUUCACUAGACAGCCAAACCGGCUGGAGUCUUGACCUUGGACUUCCCAGUCUGCAUCCUCUUACAGCAGCACAAACAGGCCAGGCCAUCAGUGCAUCAGAAUCUUUUACAACUGCUGAGAUUUUAGGACACUGGAAUAGCCAGAAGAGGUGAUGGACCAGGAACAUGGAGAGUUAGUCACUUGGACUAUACUAUCCUCAUAAAGUCUGACUGCAUAUGAUAAUUGCCUUGGAAAUUAUUUCAGUCGAACCAAGCAGAACAUUAUUUACUUGGCAUGUAGUAACAGAAAAUUAUAAUUGGAAGAUUGACUUAACUCAGUAAGUCAGAAAGAGCAUAGUUGAGUGUAUAUAUAUGACUCAAUUCGUUAAGAUAUUCUGAUACACUGACUUUCACUUAUCACACUAAAUUCCUUAAAGACACCAGGAGGUUAGAAGCGCGUUACUCACUCGCACACAACAGAACAGAGGUACAGGAGCACCGAGCCUGCUCAGCAUUCCCUGCUCCCAAAGCAUUGCCCACUCGGACACUGGCGGCCACACCAAAGCCAAAAGGCACCUAGGAAUUAACAAACAUAAAUCAUAAUUUUAAAAACCCCGAAAGUUCACACAUUAGCACACUAGGGUUCAUCUAGUCUCAGCAUUCUGGGUUCUAGAAAUAACUCUAUUUCAUCCCGUCUGUGUGGUGGGUGAUAAAGGCUCAGCCUCCUUGACACCUGAUUUCCUCACUGCAACUUCACAAAUACCGGACGAGGACCUCUUAAGGAAGCCGGAUUUGGGUGCAAAGCCCCUCCUUUACUGACACAACACCUUCAUCAUCAUGACUUAAUUUAAGCUAGCUAUGCUCUUAAAUGUAAGAUUCAACUUAAUAUAAAUCAUAAAUUAUUUAUAGAAAGGAAGGAACCAUGUGAAAAACCACUUAGGACAGAGCCUGGCAUACUAUAGGAACUCAACAAAUGUUGAUGAAAUCUGACCCCAUAGCCCCCCUUUGAUGGUGGGACAGAUGAAACACUCCAUGUCUGACCAUCCAGACAGCUAGAAUAUGCCUCUUCAAAGGCCAAAACUUUAUUGUAAUUAUCAGUUAUGGAAAUCUAAAGCUAUACAUUUCUUUGCUUCUCACAUAGACCAUUCAACCUUCAGUCAUUAUCUUGCAACAUAGUGUGCCUUCAGGCUGUAUGUGUAACAUGGGUUGUAUAGACAGCUUUGAUUUUGGCUCUCAUGUCUACUUUAAGAAUUUAUAUAUCAGCUUUAA